rnacentral:sRNA from 1 species
UCCUAAGAUCAUGAAAGUACGUCCAGAGAUA